CUUCUUCUUCUUCUUCGUCUUCUUUUUUUUAAUCUGUUUAAUUAUUGUAAGAAGUUGUGCGUUUGUUGGUAACUUAGGUUGCUGACAUUUAUGUUUAAAGAUUAAGAAAAAUUCUUUUAUGGAUUGACUGAGACCACUCCUAUAUCCACCCCAAGGACAAAAGUGGGAGAAGGUUGAUAAAAGGACUAGGGAUGUAUUUUGGGCAAUUAGAAUUUAAUGUUCGAUUGUAGAUUCAUUGAUGCUGAUUUAGUGGGGUUUCUCUGCAGUGUUAAUUGUGUUGCGAGCAAUA
rnacentral:misc_RNA from 1 species